CUACGGGAGGCAGCAGUGGGGAAUAUUGCACAAUGGGCGCAAGCCUGAUGCAGCCAUGCCGCGUGUAUGAAGAAGGCCUUCGGGUUGUAAAGUACUUUCAGCGGGGAGGAAGGGAGUAAAGUUAAUACCUUUGCUCAUUGACGUUACCCGCAGAAGAAGCACCGGCUAACUCCGUGCCAGCAGCCGCGGUAAUACGGAGGGUGCAAGCGUUAAUCAGAAUUACUGGGCGUAAGGCGCACGCAGGCGGUUUGUUAAGUCAGAUGUGAAAUCCCCGGGCUCAACCUGGGAACUGCAUCUGAUACUGGCAAGCUUGAGUCUCGUAGAGGGGGGUAGAAUUCCAGGUGUAGCGGUGAAAUGCGUAGAGAUCUGGAGGAAUACCGGUGGCGAAGGCGGCCCCCUGGACGAAGACUGACGCUCAGGUGCGAAAGCGUGGGGAGCAAACAGGAUUAGAUACCCGCGUAGUC
rnacentral:rRNA from 1 species